AAGACCGUACUUAAUAGGAUCAUUUCUAUAGUACGCGUCCCGUCUUUGUUACCCAACAAAGGCAACCUCGACAUCCACGGUGAUGAAUCGCAGUAUUCUCUUCUGAGCGUGAAGCAAGCCAGAAAUGAUGCCUUCACUGGCAAUCGUUUCUGGUCUUUGAUGACCGUUCCUUUCUCUCACUUGUUGAGAGGYGGGAGGAAGAGAAUGCAUUCAGAGUGGU